AGUGCGGCGAUCUUGAAGGAGUCUCUGGCAUCAUAGUGCGCAACGGACCGGAAAUUCAAGUUGCUAGUCGCAAAAGCUUCGGAAGUCGCAAAAUGAGCAUCUAGACAGUAGUGAUACCAAGUGUGAACUUUCAAAACGGCACAAGCCAGCAAAGAACCCUGCAUAUACAGCCCUGGCAUGCUGUAGAGCGAAGUGUUGUUGAAUGACAAUAAUCAAUUUUGGUCAUUCAAUAAAUAUUCCAUAAAUGCGUGAUUUUGACUUGAA